AAAAAGACAAAUCCUAGGUUUUCGUGUCCAACGUUUGACCGUCCGUCUUAUUUGAAAAAAAAUAAAAAAAAUUAAAAAGACAAGUCACGCAUAAAGUAUUAAUCAUGUUUUAUCAUCUAACAACAAUAAAAAUACUAAUUAUAAAAAAAUUUCAUAUAAGACGGACAGUCAAACGUUGGACACGGAAACCCAGGGUUUGCCUUUAUU
rnacentral:pre_miRNA from 1 species